rnacentral:rRNA from 1 species
GUGUCAGCAGCCGCGGUAAUACGUAGGUGGCAAGCGUUGUCCGGAAUUAUUGGGCGUAAAGCGCGCGCAGGCGGUCCUUUAAGUCUGAUGUGAAAUCCCACGGCUCAACCGUGGAAGGUCAUUGGAAACUGGGGGACUUGAGAACAGAAGAGGAAAGCGGAAUUCCAAGUGUAGCGGUGAAAUGCGUAGAGAUUUGGAGGAACACCAGUGGCGAAGGCGGCUUUCUGGUCUGUAACUGACGCUGAGGCGCGAAAGCGUGGGGAGCAAGCAGGAUUAGAUACCCGGGUAGUCC